ACACUCCUGCGGGAGGCAGCAGUGGGGAAUAUUGCACAAUGGGCGCAAGCCUGAUGCAGCGACGCCGCGUGGGGGAUGAAGGCCUUCGGGUUGUAAACUCCUUUCGCUAGGGACGAAGCUUUUUUGUGACGGUACCUAGAUAAGAAGCACCGGCUAACUACGUGCCAGCAGCCGCGGUAAUACGUAGGGUGCGAGCGUUGUCCGGAAUUACUGGGCGUAAAGGGCUCGUAGGUGGUUUGUCGCGUCGUCUGUGAAAUUCUGGGGCUUAACUCCGGGCGUGCAGGCGAUACGGGCAUAACUUGAGUGCUGUAGGGGUAACUGGAAUUCCUGGUGUAGCGGUGAAAUGCGCAGAUAUCAGGAGGAACACCGAUGGCGAAGGCAGGUUACUGGGCAGUUACUGACGCUGAGGAGCGAAAGCAUGGGUAGCGAACAGGAUUAGAAACCCCGGUAGUCCCAUGA
rnacentral:rRNA from 1 species